GACGAACGCUGGCGGCGUGCUUAACACAUGCAAGUCGAACGGAAAGGCCUUUUCGGAGGUACUCGAGUGGCGAACGGGUGAGUAACACGUGGGUGAUCUGCCCUGCACUCUGGGAUAAGCCUGGGAAACUGGGUCUAAUACCGGAUAGGACCGCACUUUAGCGUGUGUGGUGGAAAGUUUUUUGGGUGUAGGAUGAGCCCGCGGCCUAUCAGCUUGGUGGUGGGGUAAUGGCCUACCAAGGCGGCGACGGGUAGCCGGACUGAGGGGUUGGUCGGCCACAUUGGGACUGGGAUACGGCCCAGACUCCUACGGGAGGCAGCAGGGGGGAAUAUUGCACAAUGGGCGCAAGCCUGAUGCAGCGACGCCGCGUGGGGGAUGACGGCCUUCGGGUUGUAAAAUCCUUUCGCCAGGGACGAAGCGGUUUGUGACGGUACCGGGAGAAGAAGCACCGGCUAACUACGUG
rnacentral:rRNA from 1 species